UCCCUGGUGGUCCAGUGGUUAAGACUCCGUACUUCCACUGCAGAGGGCCCAGGUUCAAACCUUGGUUGGGGAA